GGUUCUGUAGCGAAGUUGGUUAUCGCGCUGCCCUGUCACGGCAGAGAUCGCGGGUUCGAGUCCCGUCAGAAUCG
rnacentral:tRNA from 1 species